GCAAAUCCCAUCCGAGCCUCCGCUGUAAACAUAUUCCUUCCGAACUUCCAUUACAGGUAGACUUCAGUUGAGCUUCUUCGUAGUCGGGUCCCACGACAACUGACCUUCGAUCGAGCUUUCACAAUAAGCGGUCUCCUUUCAGCCUUCUACAAGAACCAGACUUCGACCGAACUUCUAUAGCGGUUGGAUAUUGGAUGAGCUUCUACGAUGAUCGGGCUCCGACAGUUGGAUUCCUACAACGAUUGAUCGCCUCCGAUGUCUGCCGAACCUUCCCAACGCCAUCCGAAGUCUAUCACCAGCCGACCCUCCACC
rnacentral:lncRNA from 1 species